ensembl:lncRNA
UAUAACUAGGACUGUGUGUCUGGGGAUCCGGUCCUAUAACUAGGACUGUGUGUCUGGGGAUCCGGUCCUAUAACUAGGACUGUGUGUCUGGGGAUCCGGCCCUAUAACUAGGACUGUGUGUCUGGGAAUCCGGCCCUAUAACUAGGACUGUGUGUCUGGGGAUCCGGUCCUAUAACUAGGACUGUGUGUCUGGGGAUCCGGCCCUAUAACUAGGACUGUGUGUCUGGGGAUCCGGUCCUAUAACUAGGACUGUGUGUCUGGGGAUCCGGCCCUAUAACUAAAAUAACAUAAUCUGGGACUCUGUGCCAUUCAUACAAACUCUGAUAAGGUUAUCGAAUGAAUCAAUAUGGUGUAAGAGUGAAUGAAUCAAUAUGGUGUACGAGUGAAUGAAUCAAUAUGGUGUACGAGUGAAUGAAUCAAUAUGGUGUAAGAGUGAAUGAAUCAAUAUGGUGUAAGAGUGAAUGAAUCAAUAUGGUGUACGAGUGAAUGAAUCAAUAUGGUGUAAGAGUGAAUGAAUCAAUAUGGUGUAUGUAAGAAUGAAUCAAUAUGGUGUAAGAGUGAAUGAAUCAAUAUGGUGUAAGAGUGAAUGAAUCAAUAUGGUGUAAGAGUGAAUGAAUCAAUAUGGUGUACGAGUGAAUGAAUCAAUAUGGUGUAUGUAAGAAUGAAUCAAUAUGGUGUAUGUAAGAAUGAAUCAAUAUGGUGUAAGAAUGAAUUGCGUUUUUUCACUUUUGGUACAGUAUGUUAUGUUGGGCUAUAUGGUCCCUACUUCGUCUAAGGGAAAUGACGAUAUUCAUUUGCCUCGAACUCUAGGACCUGGGUUAGUGUACUGUUGUUGUCUUUACACUGGUUAAUAUCAUAGAGAAAAGCCCCAACUGUCCUGGUGCAAAACAUGGCAAUGAGGUAAAGCAAUAAAAACAUCUUUCCACCACAGAUCAACAAUCAUAAGAGGGAGGGACUACUAAUCUAAUCUCACAGAGCCAGACGAGAGGCUCAGAAUCUGGUAUGAUAAGGUACAGGGCUGCCCAGCCCUCUUCCUAGAGAUCUACUGGUCCUGUAGGUUUUCAGUCCAACCCUCUUCCUGGAGAUCUACUGGUCCUGUAGGUUUUCAGUCCAACCCUCUUCCUGGAGAUCUACUGGUCCUGUAGGUUUUCAGUCCAACCCUCUUCCUGGAGAUCUACUGGUCCUGUAGGUUUUCAGCCCAACCCUCUUCCUGGGGAUCUACUGUCCUGUAGGUUUUCAGUCAAGGUCUGGUACAAUAUAUUAGAACAAACCAACUCUGUAGCAGUAAAGUCUGACAUGCGACAUUAGGAGGCGACAAGAUCUUUGAUACAGUUUGGAACAUCUACUAUGUUUUACUCCAUUGUUGAAGGUUGGGAACGAGGCUUUUCAGAACAACAACAAACUCACUGUCCACAGCACAUCUGAAACUAGACCUACACUUUGUUCAUUAUAAUGGUAAAUUGCUUGGUUCAGACAAAAGGGUGAUUAUUGGGUUACUAAAAGGCAGUAGAACAGAGAUCCUCCAUUUCAGGAGGGGAAAAAACCUACCGAGAUGUCUGUGAAUAACUUUAAAUGCAAAUGGAACCAAUUCUGGGGAUGAUUCCACCAACUAGCUGACAUAUGUUCUGUUCGAUCCCUAGUUAUGAAAAUAACAGGACACGACUUGACAGAUAUCAUCGUCGUCUACAAGCAGUGGUGGGGACAGAUAGAUGAGGAUAGAGGAGAGAGAGAGAGAGAGGGGGGACAGACAGGUCCAGCCUGGAACUGUCUGUAGUUGCCAGUCUCGCCUGUAUCCCCAUACAUCCCUGGAGUUUAGUCCACUGUCUGUUCUCUGCAGAAAUAGUGGCAGAGGUUGAGCUCUUGAUCCAUCUCUGGUCUGAACAGCUGGGCGUGACAAUUGGGAGAUGUUACCCCAAAUCUGGAUGUGUCUCACGUGAAGAGCUGCGGUCUGGACAUUUCCCCACGAAGUCUGGCACUCGUUCACUUCGCAUCUGUUUAGGGAUUUGAGUCACAAAUGAGAGAAUGACAAAGUAUGUAGCUAGUAGCUGGUAGCUAGCUACAUAUCAUUAUGAUAUGGCUGAGAAGACCUUUGUCAAAUGCUGGACAGGUUGUUGCACUGUCAGAGAUGAUCUUGUCUGGAAGCUGGAGAGGCAGCC